rnacentral:sRNA from 1 species
CCCCUCUCUCCCACCCAGUUCCCCAUUACAGCCUUGCGGGAGAUCAAGAUCCUUCAGCUUCUAAAACACGAGAAUGUGGUCAACUUGAUUGAGAUUUGUCGAACCAAAGCUUCCCCCUAUAACCGCUGCAAGGGUAGUAUAUACCUGGUGUUUGACUUCUGCGAGCAUGACCUUGCUGGGCUGUUGAGCAAUGUUUUGGUCAAGUUCACGCUGUCUGAGAUCAAGAGGGUGAUGCAGAUGCUGCUUAACGGCCUCUACUACAUCCACAGGAACAAGAUCCUGCAUAGGGACAUGAAGGCUGCUAAUGUGCUUAUCACUCGUGAUGGGGUCCUGAAGCUGGCAGACUUUGGGCUGGCCCGGGCCUUCAGCCUGGCCAAGAACAGCCAGCCCAACCGCUACACCAACCGUGUGGUGACACUCUGGUACCGGCCCCCGGAGCUGUUGCUCGGGGAGCGGGACUACGGCCCCCCCAUUGACCUGUGGGGUGCUGGGUGCAUCAUGGCAGAGAUG